AAAUCACUGGAUUGCAGGGCCCGAAUCACUACCACCACGAGUGGAAAAGUAAUGCAGUUUGAUAACGUUCACAAUCAUCUGCCAGCAGAUAUAGGGAAAACGGAUCUACAAUCCACAGAAGUGGCGUUCUCCCACAACGUUCAGCAGUACGAACUGGGUAAAUAUGCUGACAUAAUUCGGUACACAUUAGAUAAGAAAGGAGUUCCUCGG